rnacentral:rRNA from 1 species
UUGCUCUUCAACGAGGAAUGCCUAGUAAGCGUGAGUCAUCAGCUCACGUUGAUUACGUCCCUGCCCUUUGUACACACCGCCCGUCGCUACUACCGAUUGAAUGGCUUAGUGAGAUCUCCGGAUUGGCUUUGGGAAGCUGGCAACGGCUACCUAUUGCUGAAAAGCUGGUCAAACUUGGUCAUUUAGAGGAAGUAAAAGUCGUAACAAGGUUUCCGUAGGUGAACCUGCGGAAGGAUCAUUAAAUUGAAACAAACAAAAAAACACCACGUGGGCUUGCCCAUGUGCUGCAAGUUGUAAGUCUGCAUAGUUUUGAAAAAAACUGAUGAGCAGCGGCUUGCGUGUUUUGUUUUAACCCUUGUUUUUUGCGUACCUAUUGUUUCCUCGGCGAGUUUGCUCGCCGGCUGGACAAAACUUAUAACCUUUUUUAAUCUUCAAUCAGCGUCUGAAUUAUACAUAAUAAUUACAACUUCCAACAACGGAUCUCUUGGUUCUGGCAUCGAUGAAGAACGCAGCGAAAUGCGAUAAGUAGUGUGAAUUGCAGAAUUCAGUGAAUCAUCGAAUCUUUGAACGCACAUUGCGCCCCUUGGUAUUCCAUGGGGCAUGCCUGUUCGAGCGUCAUUUGUACCCUCAAGCUUUGCUUGGUGUUGGGCGUCUUGUCUUUUCUUUUGUGAUUAGACUCGCCUUAAAGUCAUUGGCAGCCAGUGUUUUUGGUAGUAAGCGCAGCACAUUUUGCGUCUUGGCCCUAAAACACUUGCGUCCAUUAAGCUACUUUCUCACUUUUGACCUCGGAUCAGGUAGGGAUACCCGCUGAACUUAAGCAUAUCAAUAAGCGGAGGA